AAGCAUGAUGGGGGCAUUGAGUUAACAGAUUAUUGAACCUUUCCCAUGCCUCAAAAAAUGACUCAACAAGUUGUUGUUCGAAUUGCAUGAUUUUUUCCCUUAGAGCAU